rnacentral:rRNA from 1 species
GUACACUCCUGCGGGAGGCAGCAGUGGGGAAUCUUGGACAAUGGGCGCAAGCCUGAUCCAGCCAUGCCGCGUGAGUGAUGAAGGCCCUAGGGUUGUAAAGCUCUUUCACCGGAGAAGAUAAUGACGGUAUCCGGAGAAGAAGCCCCGGCUAACUUCGUGCCAGCAGCCGCGGUAAUACGAAGGGGGCUAGCGUUGUUCGGAAUUACUGGGCGUAAAGCGCACGUAGGCGGAUCGAUCAGUCAGGGGUGAAAUCCCAGGGCUCAACCCUGGAACUGCCUUUGAUACUGUCGAUCUGGAGUAUGGAAGAGGUGAGUGGAAUUCCGAGUGUAGAGGUGAAAUUCGUAGAUAUUCGGAGGAACACCAGUGGCGAAGGCGGCUCACUGGUCCAUUACUGACGCUGAGGUGCGAAAGCGUGGGGAGCAAACAGGAUUAGAAACCCCAGUAGUCCCAUGAU